GUGCCAGCCGCUGCGGUAAUACGAAGGGUGCAAGCGUUACUCGGAAUUACUGGGCGUAAAGCGUGCGUAGGUGGUUCGUAAGUCUGAUGUGAAAGCCCUGGGCUCAACCUGGGAAUUGCAUUGGAUACUGGCGGGCUAGAGUACGGUAGAGGGUAGUGGAAUUCCUGGUGUAGCAGUGAAAUGCGUAGAGAUCAGGAGGAACAUCCGUGGCGAAGGCGACUACCUGGACCAGUACUGACACUGAGGCACGAAAGCGUGGGGAGCAAACAGGAUUAGAUACCCUGGUAGUCCACGCCCUAAACGAUGCGAACUGAUGUUGGGUUCAACUAGGAACUCAGUAUCGAAGCUAACGCGUUAAGUUCGCCGCCUGGGGAGUACGGUCGCAAGACUGAAACUCAAAGGAAUUGACGGGGCCCGCACAAGCGGUGGAGUAUGUGGUUUAAUUCGAUGCAACGCG
rnacentral:rRNA from 1 species